CCUCUAUGUCACCUACAGUAUCAGCAGUGCGCCAGGGCCGCGUCAGGCACGAUUCUGGUUGUGUCAGCUGCAGGGCGGGAUUUGCGCUGAACGCGGAGACUUCCGCCACUUAAUAUGUUCGUUUGGAAACACGAAAAUUUACCUAUGUUCCGCAAACAAAAUAUUGCAUUCGGUCAUUCGGUACACACGUGCACCGUACCGAAAGCCCUGUACCGAAACGGUCCGGUACGAAUACACGUACCGUUGCGGUCCGUCAGUGUGUUCAAGGAGCGGUGCGUCUGCAGCAGUGCAGCGAUUGUUAACGUACUGAGUCUAUUUUUGCUGU